CGCGGCCUAUCAGCUUGUUGGUGAGGUGAUGGCUCACCAAGGCACCGACGGGUAGCUGGUCUGAGAGGACGAUCAGCCACACUGGAACUGAGACACGGUCCAGACUCCUACGGGAGGCAGCAGCAGGGAAUCUUGCGCAAUGGGCGAAAGCCUGACGCAGCGACGCCGCGUGGGGGAUGAAGGCCUUCGGGUUGUAAACCCCUUUCAGGAGGGAAGAAAAUGACGGUACCUCCAGAAGAAGCCCCGGCCAACUACGUGCCAGCAGCCGCGGUAAUACGUAGGGGGCGAGCGUUGUCCGGAUUUAUUGGGCGUAAAGGGCUCGUCGGCGGCUUGACAAGUCGGCCGUGAAAACCCAGGGCUCAACCCUGGGAGGCCGGUCGAUACUGUCAUGGCUAGGGUCCGGUAGAGGAGAAUGGAAUUCCCGGUGUAGCGGUGAAAUGCGCAGAUAUCGGGAGGAACACCAGUAGCGAAGGCGGCUCUCUGGGCCGGUACCGACGCUGAGGAGCGAAAGCUAGGGGAGCAAACAGGAUUAGAUACCCUGGUAGUCCUAGCCGUAAACGUUGGGCACUAGGUGUGGCGGAUUCAUUGACAUCUGCCGUGCCGAAGCUAACGCAUUAAGUGCCCCGCCUGGGGAGUACGG
rnacentral:rRNA from 1 species